CACUCAAUUCAUGUGAUUUGUAGAAAUAUGCAUACAUAUGUCUAUGUAUGCACUAUAUAUAUAUAUAUAUAUAUAUAUAUAUACAUAGACAUAUGUAUGCAUAUUUCUACAAAUCACAUGAAUUGAGUG